UUAUUAAAAACAGUGUUGAUUAACCAAUAUUUCUUUUACUAAGUGAUCAUUUUAUGACUAAGCAGAACUAAGCAAUUUGCAAGAUUCAGUUAUUAUAACCUAUAGCGAUGCAUAGUAACAACUUCAUUUCAAAAGUAGGUGACAAACAUGCUUAGUGGCUUGUCUUGGUUUUCUUCGAGCCCAAACUCAACUUUUAUGCCAGCCUCGGCUCAAGGGUUCAAGG
rnacentral:lncRNA from 1 species